rnacentral:lncRNA from 1 species
UUAUGACCAGUCUUAUGCUUUUCAGCCUUAAUGUCUCUCUGGAAUCCUCUGGACCUGUCCAAAGGGACAGAACUGAGCCUGUCAGUUAUGAAUCCAAUCUCUUCCCACGACUGACCUGGUGUGGGUCAGCGUGCAGCUCCCGUUGCCCAGGAGAAAGGCCAUGUGUGUAGCCGGCUCACCAUGGCCCCUGGACAAGGAACUUGAGCGGAACCUUUGGAAUUUGAGUCCCUUCAUCUGCCUAUUACUUUCCUGGGGCUGCCAAAACAAACGACCGCAAACUGGGUGGCUUAUAGCAACAGAGACCCGUUUUCUGACAGUCUGGAAACCAGAAAUGUGAAAUCCAGGUGUCUGCAGGACCGUGCUCUCUCUGAAGACUCCAGGAGCUGACAGAAUUUUGUGACAAUUCUGGGAAAUGCUUUCAGAUGGCCCCUUCUAUGAAUUAUGAAUGUCUCGCAAAGCUCUGUGGUUCCAGGGAGUCACUCAGAUAACCAGAUAACCACCCAGAGGGUCAAGCUGGAAGAGAAAGGAGAAUUUGAAAGAUGACCGAAUGAGGCGGGAGCUGAGAGGACGUAC